GUCCAGAUGAAGAAUCUCAAAUAGGACGAAAUACGCGUCCUAGAU
rfam:Schistosoma haematobium scaffold445_10, whole genome shotgun sequence.